rnacentral:rRNA from 1 species
CGUAGGUGGCAAGCGUUGUCCGGAUUUAUUGGGUUUAAAGGGUGCGUAGGCGGCUUUGUAAGUCAGUGGUGAAAUAUGGCAGCUCAACUGUCAGGGUGCCAUUGAUACUGCAGAGCUUGAGUACAGAUGAGGUAGGCGGAAUUGACGGUGUAGCGGUGAAAUGCUUAGAUAUCGUCAAGAACACCGAUAGCGAAGGCAGCCUACUAGGCUGUAACUGACGCUGAGGCACGAAAGUGUGGGGAUCAAACAGGAUUAGAUACCCUGGUAGUCCACACCGUAAACGUUGAUGACUCGCUGUUGGCGAUACACGGCCAGCGGCAGAGAGAAAUCGUUAAGUCAUCCACCUGGGGAGUACGCCGGCAACGGUG